CCAAAUAUUUUUCGCGAAAUUACUAUGACGUUUGACAAAGGCCUACGAAGUAACACACAAUAUUCCAACAAUAAACGGAAGCUGUAGACGUAAGAAGAAAAAGGACCUAUGGAAAGAAGCCAGGAGACAUAGAUGACAAAAUUUUAAAGCCACAUAAAAGAAGAAAAUGAUAUAAGGACGUUUUGAGUUCGGGAUUGUAUAGAGAGAGACAGUUUUAUGUCGUAGGAUAUUAAGUAGGGAUGUCGCAACAUGCGGGUGUUCCUCUGCCCUUACAGUCAUCUAGCAGUUUAGCCAGCCUGUGCCAGGUGGCACUUGAAAAGUUGCUGCUGCAGGCAUUUUGCUUACUCGGCAAGUUGGAGGCCAAAUCAAAGCCCAUGCGCCAUGUACCGGAGAAUGGGGUGGUGUCCUUCCUGUGCCAGAAAGAGCGUGAUGCACCACUCGCUGAAAUUCAGGCAUACCUGUCAUCCAAAAUGCCUACCAGCUGCAGACAGGGAAUGGACAACAAUAUGUUAAAUACACUUGCAACUCCAAGAUUUGACAAGAACUCAUUGAUAAGUAACACUGAGUUUAAAUUCCAAAUCCUGAAUAUAGUUGUAGGUGCUUCUGAAAUGAAGCAGGUAUUAAAGAAGCUCUUCCAAUGUAUGUUGUUAGGAUAUGUGACUAGUCUAGACUGUAGUGGCUUUUGUAGUUAUGGGAGUUACUGGGUUGUUAGAGCAAAGAGAAUCCUAUAUACAUGGGAUAAGAUACAUGGAGGAGGGGAAUACAUUGAGGGCAUUGAGUCAGGCAAAGUGUGUACAGUUCAGCUAGAGUCAUUAUGGCAUGACAUGGUGCAUGAGUACAAAACAGUUGCAAAUACAGCUGCAGUUAAUUCAGCUAAGUAUUUUCACCAGUCGACAAGAAUCAACAUUGACUAUUUUUGCAAGUGGUGAACUUAUAUGGGCAAUAGGAUGCAACUGUCCUGUCUUACAGGAACUGAGUAUAUAUGUAGACACAUCAGACAGAAGAAAAUACUCAGCUCACUUUGAAGAAAAAUUUUUAGAUGGAUUAUCUGCAUUGUAUGGGCAUAGAAAGUAUACUCAGACAUCUUUUCGAGGAAAACCAGUUGGAUGCCCUCAGAUUCGAAGUAUAAUUAUGCCAACACUUCAGAUUCAAGAAAAAAUGGAGGAAUGCUCAGGCAAACUACUCUGUUACUUACACCAUCUUGAAGUAUUAAGAAAUGUUGGGACAACAGGUUCUAUUGUAGCCAUGUUUAAAGAGAAAGACUACAUUUGCAGACCACUAUCACUAACUUAUGUGGAUGAUGCUCGAGCACCAGAGACUUUAGAUUUAGUGUGCAGACAUUUUGGUGUUGAUAUAAAAAAACUUUUAUCCAACGUUACCAGUGUUAGAUUUUGGAAGACUCAUUGUGGAAUGAGACUUUUGCUUAAUUUCCCUCUGUUGAAAGAAUUAGAACUAUUGACAAUAGAAGAUGCUGAGCUAGAGUUUGGCAAUAACUUUGCCAAACUAACGCAUUUCAGAGGCAACUUUCGCUGGGCUGAGAAGAGACUGGCAGAUUUCUCUCGGAAAGUUCCUCGCUUAGAAACAAUAUUCUUCCUGUGUGGCUCCUUGUUUAAACGUAAGACCAAGAAGACCAGAGAGAUAAAGUCAUUCCCUAAGGCACGUGUUGUUAAAUUCUACCAGCUAACACACAUUGAAUCUGAUCCUGUCAUUAACUUCUUGAAGAGCACCAAAGUCCUCACUCACUUAUUCUUUGAAGAUAAUGAUAAGAGAAUCAGAGAUAAAAAAAAACUCCUAUAUUUGAGGCAAUAAACGACAAAGCCAUUGCCUCUGUUGCCCUUUCCCUGAAGAACUUGGUUUGCUUUCAUGCCCACGUUCGAGGAUUCCGCGGGGUUUGUAAGUUUUCCCUGACUGAAAAGAGUGUCCACAGUCUUCUUGCCAAUUGUCAAAAUUUGACUGAUUUGGGAAAUUUAUUUAUCUGGGAGAUUCCUUACCAAAAUGUUCUGGCCCUAAAGAAACAGGCAAAGGAGGGGAACUGGGAAAUAGGUUUUACACCACAUGAUGAUGUGUAGAUUGAUAUGCAAGGAAAUCAUUGAAUUUUAAAACAACAUUCUAAUUGUAGAUUAUUCAGCACAUAUAAGUACUUGACACAAUAAUUUAAUUAAGCCACUUAAGCCUCAGGUUUAUCAAUUUGACUCGUCCCAAGUCCCUAAGCAUAACUGGCUGCACAACUUUCCUUUUGGGUACAUUAUGAUUAGACUACCUUGGGCUACAGGCUUCAAAAUGUUGUUCAUAUGUUAUAACUGCAGAAUAAUGUUUAACAAAUUUAUUGUAAUAUUAUAACACCUUUUCUCUUUUAUAGGUUUGUAAAGUUAAGGAAAGUCAUUAGUGAAGUGGAUCUUACCAACAGUAUUCUAAAAUACAUAAACUUUAGCCUUUAUAUUUUGGUGAGGUAAGUACUUUAGAACAUCAGUGCAUGUAACUACAGUAGCCAAUGUAUUAUAUUUGUUAUUAUGAGAGAGAGAACUAAUAUUAUAUUAUAUUAUAUAUUGGGUAUGUUUAAGUGUCUUUACAGGAAAUGUAUUAACAGAAACUAUGUGUAUGAUGGAUGUUGGUGUUCUCCUAGCAUAAGCCACUGAUAGGGCUGUUGUGUAAACUUACUCCAGAAUUGAAUAAUAAAUGUGUGGGACAACAUUUAUUAAUUCUUUUACACAUAGAUGACUCCACUUGUACUUAAAGUGGGCAUGGCAUGUAUGUACAUGCUAUGCCCAUCAACUUUGUUAAAAUUAUAGUUUGUAAAGGGGUACUAAGUACAUUAAGAACUUGUAAUAGAAUAUCUGUUUCAUUUUGAGCUUGUGUAUUUAAUGUCAAAUGUUUUAGCUGUACAAACAAUGAUUUGACGAUGAUCUGCAAGUGAUCUUACAGAAGCAGAUCUGUUGUUAUUAGACAGAAAUAAUUCAGAUAGAUUACAUUAAUUUAAGGCUCAUUUUUGUUUGUAUACAUUUUGUACUUAUAAAUUAAGUAUUAGGAGAUUUUUUACAUUAGUGUGUAAAAAGACUUUGAAGAUGGAAAAGUUUUAUAUAUUUUUACCGAUAUCAGUGAAUGUUACUGUUAAUACUGUGUGCUAUUUGGCUGUGAAUUUAUGCAUAUUUGUGUCCUAAUGUUAAUGAUGCUACAAAUUUCUACUGUUUGCAAUUAUUUUUUCAUAAAAUGAAACAAAUAAAGCUUUUGAUAACU
rnacentral:misc_RNA from 1 species